rfam:Lupinus angustifolius cultivar Tanjil chromosome LG09, whole genome shotgun sequence.
GGAGGAAGGGGUGUAGAGACAGGCAUGAGGUUUGCCUAGAAGUAGCCACACUUGAAAGAGUGCGUAAUAACUCACUGAUCGAGCGCUCUUGUGCUGAAGAUAAAUGGGGCUAA